rnacentral:lncRNA from 1 species
UUGGUAUGUAUGUUAAUAAUCUGUACACGUUUCCAGAUUAUAUAAGAUUCAUUUUGAUAAUACACUAUUGGAACAAACUAGGGUAAUAACUGUUCCCCAAAGAUUAUUGUAUAUGUAUCAGGUCUGUGGACUAUUGGUUAUACUGUGGUCUUUCCUCUAUCUUUUGGUCAGAGUGUUAUCUGUUAAUUCAACUUUAUGUUUUAAAUGAGCCUUGGUAUCUUAUAUUUAUUUUAUAAUAUGCUUCCAGUGAAACGUAGAAAAUGUUGAAAAAUGUAUAAAAAUCAAUGGACAACGUCAUGUUUUUUUUUUUUU